rnacentral:sRNA from 1 species
UUUUUUGUUUGUUUGUUUUUUUCCUUUUUGU